GGGGAUAUGGUUUAGUGGUAUAAUUUCUCAUUUGCAAUUUGGUGGGUGGUGGUGGUGUUUCGACCCCUCCCCUCCUCCUCCUUUGGUUGAAAAUUGAGACGGUCGUGGGUUCGAUUCCCACUGUCUCCA